UCUGAAGGCUGUGGGCUCAAAGAUGUGUUGAGUGUCAGAGAUGGGGGAGGGGGAGACUAAAUGUAUCUCCAUUCUUCAAUAUAGGGAACUCUGUAUUUCUUCUGUGAAACAUUCUCAUGUCAAAUAUGGAAGAGAGUCAGAGGGAACUGUCGUAUUGUUGACAGAACAAGUGAGAAAGGGACAUCACAUGUAUGGAUUAAGUUAAAAAAGGAACACACUUUCUCAGAUAUUCACAUUUACCUGUGUGCCAUCCCCUUUCAAAUACUACAAUAAAAAAUUAUAAUCCAUAAUAAAUAAGAGUUCCCUAUAUACGCCUGUAUGACUCUAAAAUUAUAAUCCAUGAGAAAUAUAAUUACUAUAUAUCCCCGUAUGACUCAGAAAUUAUAUUUUUUCCAGUUCUGCUGAUAUAUCUCCCUAAAUAGUCAACACUGCACUUUUAAUACCAAAAUUGGAGCAUUUUUCGGAAUCAUGAAAGAAAAGAAAAUUGUCCAAAUUUUCAAAGAGAGGGAGAAAUGUUUGCAUGUUCACAAGGGUUUCCUCCACAUAGAACCCCAACACAAAAACAUGCAAAAGAACAGAAAAGGUCGCUCCCUGUCCGUCUCUGACCAAGAUUGGACUGAACACUUGGCCUGGUCCCAGGGCGCCGAAAAAAAGGCUGCCCACUGCUCCUGGCUGCCUUGAGGAAGGACAAGGACUUUAAAGGCAGAAGGCAAAUUUCACCGGCGACCUCAUCAGCAUGCGUGUGUGUGUGUGUUUGGGUCCUGUGUCGCUGCCAAACGCAUGUGUGUGGUGUUGUGUGUCGUGCUGUGUGACAAUAAAAUAUGACUUUGACUUUGAAAUACCACCGAAACAGCAUCAGUGGCAUUACAGUUGACAACAAUUUAGAGAAGCUCUUCUGCAAUAUUAUUAAGAGACUUAUGCCAUUACUUCUUGAAUAAAAGGUCCUCAGUUGUUUUCA